GAUGAACGCUGGCGGCGUGCCUAAUACAUGCAAGUCGAGCGAAUGGAUUAAGAGCUUGCUCUUAUGAAGUUAGCGGCGGACGGGUGAGUAACACGUGGGUAACCUGCCCAUAAGACUGGGAUAACUCCGGGAAACCGGGGCUAAUACCGGAUAACAUUUUGAACCGCAUGGUUCGAAAUUGAAAGGCGGCUUCGGCUGUCACUUAUGGAUGGACACGGGUCGCAUUAGCUAGUUGGUGAGGUAACGGCUCACAAAGGCAACGAUGCGUAGCCGACCUGAGAGGGUGAUCGGCCACACUGGGACUGAGACACGGCCCAGACUCCUACGGGAGGCAGCAGUAGGGAAUCUUCCGCAAUGGACGAAAGUCUGACGGAGCAACGCCGCGUGAGUGAUGAAGGCUUUCGGGUCGUAAAACUCUGUUGUUAGGAAAGAACAAGUGCUAGUUGAAUAAGCUGGCACCUUGACGGUACCUAACCAGAAAGCCACGGCUAACUACGUGCCAGCCGCCGCGGUAA
rnacentral:rRNA from 1 species